AUAGCAUUACCCCGGCUCCAAGGAGAGUACCGAUCUUUGACUGGAGACUGGAUCCCCUUCAAGCAGCUGGGUUACCCCACUCUAGAAGCCUACCUGAGAAGUGUGCCAGCAGUGGUCAGGAUAGAGACUAGCAGAUCUGGAGAGAUCAUCUGCUACGCUGUAGCUUGCACAGAAACCGCAAGGAUUGCUCAGCUUGUGGCUCGUCAGAGGACCUCGAAAAGGAAAAUGGGGCGACAAAUUAACUGUCAGAUGAGAGUGAAGAAAACCAUGCCAUUCUUUCUAGAAGGGAAACCAAAGGCAACCCUCAGACAACCAGGAUUUGCCUCAGACUAUUCGAUCAGCAAGAAACCUAAUCCAGCACUUUUAAGAGACAAAGGAAGCACCCUCGGAGUUAAGGCUGAUGUGGACAUGCCACCUUACCCAGAUAUUCCAGUGCAGAGGCAUGUGAGCAUGUCUCCCAACAGCAGGUACCUGGGCUU